rnacentral:lncRNA from 1 species
GGGUAUAAAAUAUCCCCCAGCCGAAGUUCGUGAAAGGCCGACCCUCCCAGGGCUCUUCUGGCUUCCGACCUUAUGCGGCGUCUUUCUGAACUUCCCCGACUGUCCGAGCUUCCAUAAUACCAUUCAGACUUCUCCAAUAAUGAGCUCCCCUAUUCAUAUACCGGACUGCUCCAAAUGCACUCCAGACUUCAUUAUUAGUCAACUUUCUACAG